rnacentral:rRNA from 1 species
UACGUAGGGACCAAGCGUUGUUCGGAUUUACUGGGCGUAAAGGGCGCGUAGGCGGUCAGCACAAGUCAGUUGUGAAAUCUCCGGGCUUAACUCGGAAAGGUCAACUGAUACUGUGCGACUAGAGUGCAGAAGGGGCAACUGGAAUUCUCGGUGUAGCGGUGAAAUGCGUAGAUAUCUGGAGGAACACCGGUGGCGAAGGCGGCAUUCUGGACCGAUAUUGACGCUGAUGCGCGAAAGCCAGGGGAGCGAACGGG